rnacentral:rRNA from 1 species
CCUACGGGCGGCAGCAGUGAGGGAUAUUGGUCAAUGGGGGAAACCCUGAACCAGCAACGCCGCGUGAGGGAAGACGGUUUUCGGAUUGUAAACCUCUGUCCUCUGUGAAGAAAAUGACGGUACCCAAAGAGGAAGCUCCGGCUAACUACGUGCCAGCAGCCGCGGUAAUACGUAGGGAGCGAGCGUUGUCCGGAAUUACUGGGUGUAAAGGGAGCGUAGGCGGGCGAGAAAGUUGAAUGUUAAAUCUACCGGCUUAACUGGUAGCUGCGUUCAAAACUUCUUGUCUUGAGUGAAGUAGAGGCAGGCGGAAUUCCUAGUGUAGCGGUGAAAUGCGUAGAUAUUAGGAGGAACACCAGUGGCGAAGGCGGCCUGCUGGGCUUUAACUGACGCUGAGGCUCGAAAGCGUGGGGAGCAAACAGGAUUAGAUACCCUAGUAGUC